rnacentral:rRNA from 1 species
GAUGAACGCUAGCGGGAGGCCUAAUACAUGCAAGUCGAGCGGUAGAGUGACUUCGGUUGCUUGAGAGCGGCGCACGGGUGAGUAACGCGUACAUGACCUACCUUUAAGACUGGGAUAGCCCUGGGAAACUGGGAUUAAUACCGGAUGUGAUAAUACGUAUAGAGAUGUAUUAUUAAAGUUGAGGCGCUUAGAGAUGGAUGUGCGUCUGAUUAGCUAGUUGGUAGGGUAACGGCCUACCAAGGCUACGAUCAGUAGGGGCGUGAGAGCGUGGCCCCCCACACGGGUACUGAGACACGGACCCGACUCCUACGGGAGGCAGCAGUAAGGAAUAUUGGUCAAUGGACGGAAGUCUGAACCAGCCAUCCCGCGUGCAGGAUGACUGCCCUAUGGGUUGUAAACUGCUUUUAGCAGAGACGAAACGCCUUCAUUUAUGAGGGUCUGACGGUAUCUGCAGAAUAAGCACCGGCUAACUCCGUGCCAGCAGCCGCGGUAAA